rnacentral:rRNA from 1 species
GGGUUGUGAGGUUAAGCGACUAAGCGUACACGGUGGAUGCCUAGGCAAUCAGAGGCGAUGAAGGACGUGCUAAUCUGCGAAAAGCGUCGGUAAGGUGAUAUGAACCGUUAUAACCGACGAUGUCCGAAUGGGGAAACCCAGUGCAAUUCGUUGCACUAUCGUUUGAUGAAUCCAUAGUCAAACGAGGCGAACCGGGGGAACUGAAACAUCUCAGUACCCCGAGGAAAAGAAAUCAACCGAGAUUCCCCUAGUAGCGGCGAGCGAACGGGGAGCAGCCCAGAGUCUUAAUCAGCAUCAGCAUCAGGAGAACGGUCUGGAAAGGCCGGCAAUAAAGGGUGAUAGCCCCGUAUCCGAAGGUGUUGGUGUUGUGAACUCGAUGAGUAGGGCGGGACACGUGUUAUCCUGUCUGAAUAUGGGGGGACCAUCCUCCAAGGCUAAAUACUCCUGAUUGACCGAUAGUGAACCAGUACCGUGAGGGAAAGGCGAAAAGAACCCCGGCGAGGGGAGUGAAAUAGAACCUGAAACCGUGUACGUACAAGCAGUGGGAGCCUUGAUUUAUCAGGGUGACUGCGUACCUUUUGUAUAAUGGGUCAGCGACUUAUAUUCUGUAGCAAGGUUAACCGAAUAGGGGAGCCGUAGGGAAACCGAGUCUUAACUGGGCGAAUGAGUUGCAGGGUAUAGACCCGAAACCCGGUGAUCUAGCCAUGGGCAGGUUGAAGGUUGGGUAACACUAACUGGAGGACCGAACCGACUAAUGUUGAAAAAUUAGCGGAUGACUUGUGGCUGGGGGUGAAAGGCCAAUCAAACCGGGAGAUAGCUGGUUCUCCCCGAAAGCUAUUUAGGUAGCGCCUCGUGAACUCAUCUUCGGGGGUAGAGCACUGUUUCGGCUAGGGGGUCAUCCCGACUUACCAACCCGAUGCAAACUACGAAUACCGAAGAAUGUUAUCACGGGAGACACACGGCGGGUGCUAACGUUCGUCGUGAAGAGGGAAACAACCCAGACCGCCAGCUAAGGUCCCAAAGUCAUGGUUAAGUGGGAAACGAAGUGGGAAGGCUCAGACAGCCAGGAUGUUGGCUUAGAAGCAGCCAUCAUUUAAAGAAAGCGUAAUAGCUCACUGGUCGAGUCGGCCUGCGCGGAAGAUGUAACGGGGCUAAACCAUGCACCGAAGCUGCGGCAGCGACAUGUAAAUGUUGUUGGGUAGGGGAGCGUUCUGUAAGCCUGUGAAGGUGUGCUGCGAGGCAUGCUGGAGGUAUCAGAAGUGCGAAUGCUGACAUAAGUAACGAUAAUGCGGGUGAAAAACCCGCACGCCGGAAGACCAAGGGUUCCUGUCCAACGUUAAUCGGGGCAGGGUGAGUCGACCCCUAAGGCGAGGCAGAAAUGCGUAGUCGAUGGGAAACAGGUUAAUAUUCCUGUACUGGUGAUAAUUGCGAUGGGGGGACGGAGAAGGCUAGGCUGGCCGGGCGACGGUUGUCCCGGUUUAAGGAUGUAGGUGGGUGAAUUAGGCAAAUCCGGUUCGCUAUACACUGAGGUCUGAUGACGAGUCACUACGGUGGCGAAGUAGCUCAUGCCCCGCUUCCAGGAAAAGCCUCUAAGCUCUAGAUUAUCAUUAAUCGUACCCCAAACCGACACAGGUGGUCAGGUAGAGAAUACUCAGGCGCUUGAGAGAACUCGGGUGAAGGAACUAGGCAAAAUGGUGCCGUAACUUCGGGAGAAGGCACGCUGGCAUUAGGUGAAGUGGUUUACCCAUGGAGCCGAAGCCAGUCGCAGAUACCAGCUGGCUGCAACUGUUUAUUAAAAACACAGCACUGUGCAAACACGAAAGUGGACGUAUACGGUGUGACGCCUGCCCGGUGCUGGAAGGUUAAUUGAUGGGGUUAUCCGUAAGGAGAAGCUCUUGAUCGAAGCCCCAGUAAACGGCGGCCGUAACUAUAACGGUCCUAAGGUAGCGAAAUUCCUUGUCGGGUAAGUUCCGACCUGCACGAAUGGCGUAAUGAUGGCCAGGCUGUCUCCACCCGAGACUCAGUGAAAUUGAACUCGCUGUGAAGAUGCAGUGUACCCGCGGCAAGACGGAAAGACCCCGUGAACCUUUACUAUAGCUUGACACUGAACAUUGAGCCUUGAUGUGUAGGAUAGGUGGGAGGCUUUGAAGUGUGGACGCCAGUCUGCAUGGAGCCAACCUUGAAAUACCACCCUUUAAUGUUUGAUGUUCUAACGUUGCCCCAUAAUCUGGGGUGCGGACAGUGUCUGGUGGGUAGUUUGACUGGGGCGGUCUCCUCCCAAAGCGUAACGGAGGAGCACGAAGGUUGGCUAAGCAUGGUCGGACAUCAUGCGGUUAGUGCAAAGGCAUAAGCCAGCUUGACUGCGAGAGUGACGGCUCGAGCAGGUACGAAAGUAGGUCUUAGUGAUCCGGUGGUUCUGAAUGGAAGGGCCAUCGCUCAACGGAUAAAAGGUACUCCGGGGAUAACAGGCUGAUACCGCCCAAGAGUUCAUAUCGACGGCGGUGUUUGGCACCUCGAUGUCGGCUCAUCACAUCCUGGGGCUGAAGUAGGUCCCAAGGGUAUGGCUGUUCGCCAUUUAAAGUGGUACGCGAGCUGGGUUUAGAACGUCGUGAGACAGUUCGGUCCCUAUCUGCCGUGGGCGUUGGAAGAUUGAAAGGGGCUGCUCCUAGUACGAGAGGACCGGAGUGGACGCACCGCUGGUGUUCGGGUUGUCAUGCCAAUGGCACUGCCCGGUAGCUAAGUGCGGAAGAGAUAACCGCUGAAAGCAUCUAAGCGGGAAACUUGCCUUGAGAUGAGUCUUCCCUGACUCUUUAAGGGUCCUAAAGGAACGUUUAAGACGAAGACGUUGAUAGGCUGGGUGUGUAAGCGUAGCGAUACGUUGAGCUAACCAGUACUAAUGAACCGUGAGGCUUAACCUGACAACACCGAAGGUGUUUUAG